GACGAACGCUGGCGGCGUGCCUAAUACAUGCAAGUCGAGCGGAUUAGAUAGAAAGCUUGCUUUCAAUCUGGUUAGCGGCGGACGGGUGAGUAACACGUAGGCAACCUGCCUGUAAGACUGGGAUAACAUUCGGAAACGAAUGCUAAUACCAGAUACGCGAUUUCCUCGCAUGGGGAGAUCGGGAAAGACGGAGCAAUCUGUCACUUGCAGAUGGGCCUGCGGCGCAUUAGCUAGUUGGUGGGGUAACGGCCUACCAAGGCGACGAUGCGUAGCCGACCUGAGGGGGGGAUCGGCCACACUGGGACAGAGACACGGCCCAGACUCCUACGGGAGGCAGCAGUAGGGAAUCUUCCGCAAUGGACGAAAGUCUGACGGGGCAACGCCGCGUGAGUGAUGAAGGCUUUCGGGUCGUAAAGCUCUGUUGCCAGGGAAGAACACUUGGGAGAGUAACUGCUCUUAAGGUGACGGUACCUGAGAAGAAAGCCCCGGCUAACUCCGUGCCAGCCGCCGCCGUAAGAC
rnacentral:rRNA from 1 species